GAUGAAGAACGCAGCGAAAUGCGAUAAGUAGUGUGAAUUGCAGAAUUCAGUGAAUCAUCGAAUCUUUGAACGCACAUUGCGCCCCCUGGUAUUCCGGGGGGCAUGCCUGUUCGAGCGUCAUUUCACCACUCAAGCCUCGCUUGGUAUUGGGCAACGCGGUCCGCCGCGUGCCUCAAAUCGACCGGCUGGGUCUUCUGUCCCCUAAGCGUUGUGGAAACUUUCGCUAAAGGGUGUUCGGGAGGCUACGCCGUAAAACAACCCCAUUUCUAAGGUUGACCUCGGAUCAGGUAGGGAUACCCGCUGAACUUAAGCAUAUCAAUAACGAGGA
rnacentral:misc_RNA from 1 species